GAAGAGACCCACCACAAUCACAGCAUUGUCAGCCCUGUAUAAAUGAAAGCAUUCCUCUCAUUCCGCUUUCAUAGCAUUCCUAUGAGAUAAUAAAGGGCAGGGACUAUUCAGGUUUUACAGGAAUCCAGGGAAAAGCAAAGCCACAGAGAUGGAGCUGACUUGCCCAAGAUCACAAAGUUCUCCAAGCCUCGCGUCUGCUGCGGUAGGAAAUUUUGAGGAUCUAUCCUAUAGUCCCCAUCUGAAGAUGCCCAGGGUCAUUCCCUGAUCACCUUGAUGUGGAACUCAAGAUUCUCAUCCAUGGAGUAGAUGUGGUUGAAGAUGUCUCGGGCAAUUCGAGGAAUAAUUCCCAUCAGCUGAGGGUCAUGCAGCUUUCCCUGUGGCCAAGAAACAGAAACAAUCAAGACACACCUAUCUCAGGCCAAUGACUCUCACCUCUUCUCUGCCAAUGAUGUCUAUCCAUGCUUCUUGAAGCCAGGCAUGCAGCCAAAGGGGAUUAAAUAUAACUCUCAAGCCAACCUUGCCCCUCCCUUCUUCCCUUCUGGAAACACCGGCACCCACACACACACACACACACACACACACAGUUAAAGAAUUCCAAAUGGUGUUGUGGACUCAUUAAAAUGGAGGGCGCUCUCCAAGUGCUGAAAGCAUUUAUUGUCUGAGGAACCCCUUUUCCUCAGCCUAGGCUAAGAGAAAGCGAUUGGAAGGGAGGAAGGGUGGCAUUCUCAGUACUGUGAGGAUAAAAGAUAUCUAAGAGGUAGAAAUGGGUGCACUUUGUAAUCCCAUGAGCAGGGAAUGCCAUAGACACGAAUUACAAUUUCAGGGUUCUGGGAACCCUGUUACCACCUCCCUAUUCUUAAAUGGGCUCUUGAAUUCCAAGCCAAGCUCUUCUUUCCUUUAUCUUAAGAUUUUUAUUUCUAUUAAAGUGUAACUUUAUUUUAAGUUUCUAUUGAUUAUACUCAGGAUGAAUUUCUUUUAGGAGACCUUUUUAUGAAAAUAACUAGAUCAGUGGUUUUCUGCUUUUUUCUGCCUCUAGACUGCUCACAUGGGAAACAUCACCAUUAUUUACAUCUCUUAAAGCAAUUGACACACAAGUACUUUGAGUCAGACUGGUAUGUUGUGGGGGGUUUCUUGUCAGAAUCUGGGAGAGUGUAUGUACAGUUAGCAAAAGCCAUUUCUGAUGCCCUCUCCCAGGCUUCUGCCCAGACUACUCUGAAGUCUGGGUCACCACAUAGACCAAGACCUUCUUGAAGACAGGGAUUCCCUCUAAAUCUCAUCAAGUACAGUCCUUGGCCCAUAGGAUGUUUUUCAAAAUAUAUGUUGAAUAAACACAGAUAUUGAUAGAGGAAGAGAGCAAGAACAUUCUAGAGACCUGGAUGUUUGGAUGAAACAACCACUAAGAGAGGAAAAUAUUAACCACUUCCCAAUUGUGUCAAAGGCUAGCUUGUGGGGAGACAACAUAUAUAAAAUAACAUCUAACUCUUAUUGGGAUUUUUAUUAUGUACCUGUCACUGUGUUAAGCAGUUUAUUAUAUACAUUAUCUCAUUUAAUGCUAACAAUCUUAGGAGGUAGGUACUAUUACUAUUCUAUUUUAUAGAUGGAGAAACUGCAAUUCAGAGAGGUAAGGUGGCUUGCUCACAAUCAUGCAGCUGAGACAUGGUAGAGUACGUUUUCAAACUCAAGCAUCUGAUUCCAGACCCACAAUGCCAAAGUGAUCCAAGAACUGAAGCACCAACAUUGUGUCCGAUCCUCAUCAUGGCUUUUCCUUCUCCUUCCCCAUAUGGUCCCCCAAUUUGGACAUUUCUCCGAAUGUUUCCAGACAGAAUUAAAGACUUUCAUCACUCCCUUUUUCCAACUUCAACCCCAUCUUCUCCAAGGAGCCUCCUUUACCUUCUCUACCUCCAGGUAAUCGAAGACUCCAUAAGUUGGUGCAAUAUCAGAGACUGGAAGACUUAAUAAAUUAGAAAUGCUCAAGGAGACCCUCUACCUUCGAGAAAUGCUAAUGAGACCCACCUUCUCUUUCACACACAGCAGUCUAAGCCCUCCUCAAAGUCUUCUCUGGAGAGCCUCCCUUCAGUUCCACAGCCCAGGGCUGUCUGUUUUCCUUUAACCCCACUCCAAGCCUUCUAGCUGUCUUCUUGUCCAUUUGUGUCUCCUAGUACCUUUGUGUAGUUUUCCAUUAUGUGUGCUGACUAAAGCUAAUGGGAGGGCCUUCAAUCAGGGUCCAAAGAUGAUCAACCUUUCAACCCUCAGUAAAGCGCCUGGUAGAGGCUGAACUGAGCACCAGGCCUGAUUUCCAUGGUGACACCCCUGGGGAUUGUUGCCAUGGUAAUGCUGGAGAGAAACUGGCCACAAUGAACAUACCUCCCUUCUCCAUAUUCCUUUAUGAGACUCCACCAAAGCUAAGGGGAAACCUGCUCCCCAUCUUCAGAUAUCAAAGAAAUCCCAGGCCACCCCAAACAAUACUGACUCUGAUCCAACAAUCCUGCAGGCUUCAACCUAGCUUUUCCAAAUGA